AAGUCGUAACAAGGUUUCCGUAGGUGAACCUGCGGAAGGAUCAUUAACACAAUUUUACUGUGAUAAAUCCGUUGAAUUCUCGAAUUCAAUGGUAUCCACCCCAUUAUUGACGAACUUCCUAGAUGUUAAAAACAUAGAGCUGGUCUUUAGGUUUUUAACAUUCUAAACCUCUUUCUGUACCCACGCACAUUUAAACCCCUUUUACAACAUGUCUUAGACUGAAAUGAAAAAUUUCUAUCAAAAAAUUGAUAAAAACAACUUUUAACAACGGAUAUCUUGGCUCUC
rnacentral:misc_RNA from 1 species